rnacentral:rRNA from 1 species
UACGUAGGUGGCAAGCGUUAUCCGGAAUUACUGGGCGUAAAGAGCGCGCAGGCGGCUGGUCAAGUCCGAUGUGAAAGCCCCCGGCUUAACCGGGGAGGGUCGUUGGGGACGGCGGGGCUUGAGGGCGGGAGAGGGUGGUGGAAUUCCCGGUGUAGUGGUGAAAUGCGUAGAGAUCGGGAGGAACACCCGUGGCGAAGGCGGCCACCUGGGCCGACCCUGACGCUGAGGCGCGAAGGCGUGGGGAGCGAACGGG